GAUGAACGCUGGCGGCGUGCCUAAUACAUGCAAGUCGAGCGAACAGAUAAGGAGCUUGCUCCUUUGACGUUAGCGGCGGACGGGUGAGUAACACGUGGGUAACCUACCUAUAAGACUGGGAUAACUUCGGGAAACCGUAGCUAAUACCGGAUAACAUUUGGAACCGCAUGGUUCUAAAGUGAAAGAUGGUUUUGCUAUCACUUAUAGAUGGACCCGCGCCGUAUUAGCUAGUUGGUAAGGUAACGGCUUACCAAGGCAACGAUACGUAGCCGACCUGAGAGGGUGAUCGGCCACACUGGAACUGAGACACGGUCCAGACUCCUACGGGAGGCAGCAGUAGGGAAUCUUCCGCAAUGGGCGAAAGCCUGACGGAGCAACGCCGCGUGAGUGAUGAAGGGUUUCGGCUCGUAAAACUCUGUUAUUAGGGAAGAACAAACGUGUAAGUAACUGUGCACGUCUUGACGGUACCUAAUCAGAAAGCCACGGCUAACUACGUG
rnacentral:rRNA from 1 species